rnacentral:rRNA from 1 species
GAUGAACGCUGGCGGCGUGCUUAACACAUGCAAGUCGAACGGAAAGGCUCCUGCUUGCAGGGGUACUCGAGUGGCGAACGGGUGAGUAACACGUGGGUGAUCUGCCCUGCACUUCGGGAUAAGCCUGGGAAACUGGGUCUAAUACCGGAUAGGACCACAUUUUGGAUGGUGUGGUGGAAAGUUUUUCGGUGUGGGAUGAGCUCGCGGCCUCUCAGCUUGUUGGUGGGGUAAUGGCCUACCAAGGCGUCGACGGGUAGCCGGCCUGCGAGGGUGUACGGCCAAAUUGGGACUGAGGUACGGCCCAGACUCCUACGGGAGGCAGCAGGGGGGAAUAAUGCACAAUGGGGGCAAGCCUGAUGCAGCGAAGCCGGGUGGGGGAUGACGGCCUUCGGGUUGUAAACUCCUUUCGCUAGGGACGAAGCGCAAGUGACGGUAAAUGGAGAAGAAGCACCGGCUAACUAAGUG